GGAAGUGUGGCUCAAGGGGUAGAGUGUUAGCCUUGAAUGAGAAAGCUAAGGGACAGUGCCUAGAGCCUGAGUUCAAGCCUCAGUACUGGCA
rnacentral:tRNA from 1 species